rnacentral:lncRNA from 7 species
UUGCGACCCCGCUCCACCCUCCGUACCACGUGGGCCAGGCGCCCCGCAGCCUGAUCCCUCGGCUGAGGCGGGGUCAGAGGGCUAAGGGUGACUGACUGCCCAGUGCAUGGAUCUCAGCAGCACGGCUUGACUUUCGGGCGGCAGGCAAGGAUGCUAAUCCACAAGGUUCCUGAGUCCAACAUCCCUCCCUCCAAUGUGGGGCUCGAAUCCGCUAUUGCAACCAAACCCGGGUUCUGCCCGCAGGGUGGCGCAAUGACAAGAGCCACCAGGUGACCCUGGUAACUCCCGCACCUAGACCUACAGGAGCAGUUUUUCUGCAGCACCACAUCUGUAGCCCUGCAUGCCGCUGGCUCCAGUGUUGUGUGUGUGGUCAUGCUCCAUCCAGCCCAGCAGCAACUUUGGUGUUUGACACCCCUCGGGAGGCACCGCUUUGGAAGAGACUGGUAACAGCAGGGUGGGACCGGCUACUUAGCUGUUCUCAGUCUGAAAGGAUUCUGGAAAGGGGCUCUAUUUAACCCAAGCACUGGAGUCCAACACAGCCUCUGCCGUGUGACAGGUGUGUGCGGAGCCCAAGAUGUGUUGGGAACAGCUAUCGUUUCUACUGCUUUGUCCCAUGCCUCUGGAGCUCCUGGGUUCCUGAACUUCAAGCUGGGCCCCAUCCUUCACCCUAUCAGGGCCCUGGGUGGAGCUGACUUCCAACAGUAUACAGUGGGUCUUGGUACUUCCUCCUUGGCAUUCGACAGUUGGUGUUUUUGAAGUCAGAGCCAUCCUCAGUAGGCUCCUAGGGGAUCGUAAGCGGCUUUCUCUGGGUGGAAACCUACUCCAUGCAGCCUUCAGCAAAGGAUCCUACGGCUGUUGAUCCCCUCGGAAGUGAGACAUAAUGUCCCGGAGCAGAUGCUGAUGGGGACUCACUGUUGGGCCACCUGAUUUCUGUGUUCAUCUUCCCAGGCUCCACCUUUCAGAUCCCAUCCCUGGUGUCUGCAGUUACAACUUUACUAACCAGAACUUUGUUUCCAGCUUACGCUGAAAAGCAAAGGGUGACUUAGAAUAAAAAUGUAACAAAUAGCCCCAUAGCCCAAACCUUUUCUGCCAUGAUUUACUGUACCAGAUACCUAUAAGUGUCCAGGGCAAAUUAAACACAUCAAUAAAUGGCUUUCUUGUGUC